rnacentral:rRNA from 1 species
GUGGCCUAACACAUGCAAGUCGAACGGCAGCACAGUAAGAGCUUGCUCUUAUGGGUGGCGAGUGGCGGACGGGUGAGGAAUACAUCGGAAUCUACUUUUUCGGGGGGGAUAACGUAGGGAAACUUACGCUAAUACCGCAUACGACCUACGGGUGAAAGCAGGGGAUCUUCGGACCUUGCGCGAUUGAAUGACCCGAUGUCGGAUUAUCUAGUUGGCGGGGUAAAGGCCCACCAAGGCGACGAUCCGUAUCUGGUCUGAGAGGAUGAUCACCCACACUGGAACUGACACACGGUCCACACUCCUACGGGAGGCAGCAGUGGGGAAUAUUGGACAAUGGGCGCAAGCCUGAUCCACCCAUACCGCGUGGGUGAAGAAGGCCUUCGGGUUGUAAAGCCCUUUUGUUGGGAAAGAAAUCCACCCGGCUAAUACCUGGUUGGGAUGACGGUACCCAAAGAAUAAGCACCGGCUAACUUCGUGCCAGCAGCCGCGGUAAUACGAAGGGUGCAAGCGUUACUCGGAAUUACUGGGCGUAAAGCGUGCGUAGGUGGUUGUUUAAGUCUGUUGUGAAAGCUCUGGGCUCAACCUGAGAACUGCAGUGGACACUGGACAACUAGAGUGUGGUAGAGGGUAGCGGAAUUCCCGGUGUAACAGUGAAAUGCGUAGAGAUCGGGAGGAACAUCCAUGGCGAACG